rnacentral:sRNA from 1 species
AUAUCUCUCCGUACGGGAAGGAUGAGAAGCUUUGACUAAGGUUCGAUUCGAGCGCAGCGAGAAAGCGUUGCCGCAGGCAACGACCCGAAGG